rnacentral:rRNA from 1 species
GACGAACGCUGGCGGCGUGCUUAACACAUGCAAGUCGAACGGUGAAGCGCCUUCCUUUUUGGUGGGUGUGGAUGAGUGGCGAACGGGUGAGUAACACGUGAGUAACCUGCCCCCUUCUUCUGGAUAACCGCAUGAAAGUGUGGCUAAUACGGGAUAUUCUGGGUCUGUCGCAUGAUGGGUCUGGGAAAGAUAUUGUUUCGGUGGGGGAUGGGCUCGCGGCCUAUCAGCUUGGUGGUGGGGUGAUGGCCUACCAAGGCGGUGACGGGUAGCCGGCCUGAGAGGAUGGACGGCCACAGUGGGACGGAGACACGGACAAGACUCCUACGGGAGGCAGCAGUGGAGAAUAGUGCACAAUGGGAGCAAGGCUGAUGCAGCGCCGCCGCGUGAGAGAUGGAGGCCUGCGGGUUGUGAACCUCUUUCGCCAGUGAAGCAGGCCUGCCUCGUUUGUGGGUGGGUUGACGGUAGCUGGAUAAGAAGCGCCGGCUAACUACGUG